AGAUUGAACGCUGGCGGCAGGCCUAACACAUGCAAGUCGAGCGGCAGCACGGGUACUUGUACCUGGUGGCGAGCGGCGGACGGGUGAGUAAUGCCUAGGAAUCUGCCUGGUAGUGGGGGAUAACGCUCGGAAACGGACGCUAAUACCGCAUACGUCCUACGGGAGAAAGCGGGGACCGUUCGGGCCUCGCGCCAUUAGAUGAGCCUAGGUCGGAUUAGCUAGUUGUGAGUAUGCUCACAGCGACGAUCCGUAAUGGUCUGAGAGGAUGAUCAGUCACACUAGGAACUGAGACGACGUCCAGACCUCCGUACGGGACGGCAGCAGGUAGGGAAUUAGUAGUAACAAGUGGGAACGAAAGCCUAGACUCCGAGCCA
rnacentral:rRNA from 1 species